rnacentral:rRNA from 1 species
AGGUUGACCUCGGAUCAGGUAGGGAUACCCGCUGAACUUAAGCAUAUCAAUAAGCGGAGGAAAAGAAACCAACAGGGAUUGCCUCAGUAACGGCGAGUGAAGCGGCAAGAGCUCAAAUUUGAAAUCCGGCCCCCCUGGGGGCCUGAGUUGUAAUUUGCAGAGGAUGCUUCGGGCGCGACCGCGGUCCAAGUCCCCUGGAACGGGGCGUCGUAGAGGGUGAGAAUCCCGUCUCCGGCCGGCCGGUCUCGCCCGUGUGAAGCUCCUUCGACGAGUCGAGUUGUUUGGGAAUGCAGCUCCAAAUGGGUGGUAAAUUUCAUCUAAAGCUAAAUACUGGUCGGAGACCGAUAGCGCACAAGUAGAGUGAUCGAAAGAUGAAAAGCACUUUGAAAAGAGAGUUAAACAGCAUGUGAAAUUGUUGAAAGGGAAGCGCUUGCGACCAGAGUCGGCUGUGGGGGUUCAGCGGGCAUUCGUUGCCCGUGCAAUCCCCCGCGGCCGGGCCAGCGUCGGUUUCGACGGCCGGUCAAAGGCCCCCGGAAUGUGUCGCCUCUCGGGGCGUCUUAUAGCCGGGGGUGCAAUGCGGCCAGUCGGGACCGAGGAACGCGCUCCGGCACGGACGCUGGCUUAAUGGUCGUCAGCGACCCG